rnacentral:rRNA from 1 species
AGCUCCGAUAGCGUAUAUUAAAGUUGUUGCAGUUAAAAAGCUCGUAGUUGAACUUCUGGCAUGAUGGCCGUCCCUACGGGGUACGUUGCUGUCUUUGUCAUCCCCUUUGAAUUAAAAACAUGAUCUUUGUUGCUCAGUUUGGUAUUCAAGGAAUUUACUUUGAAAAAAUUAGAGUGUUUCAAGCAAGCGAUUCGCUGGAAUACAUUAGCAUGGAAUAAUAGAAUAUGACCUCUGUAUCAUUUAUUGGUCCAAUGUUUAGAGGUAAUGAUUAACAGGGACAGUUGGGGGCAUUAGUACUGCUUUGUCAGAGGUGAAAUUCAUUGAUUAUCGCAAGACUAACUUAUGCGAAAGCAUUUGCCAAGGAUGUUUUCA